CGUAGGGUGCGAGCGUUAAUCGGAAUUACUGGGCGUAAAGGGCGCGUAGGCGGCGUGACAAGUCCACUUGUGAAAUCUCCGGGCUUAACCCGGAGCGGCCAAGUGAUACUGUCGUGCUAGAGUGCGGAAGGGGCUACUGGAAUUCUCGGUGUAGCGGUGAAAUGCGUAGAUAUCGAGAGGAACACCUGCGGCGAAGGCGGGUAGCUGGGCCGACACUGACGCUGAGGCGCGAAAGCCAGGGGAGCGAACGGGAUUAGAUACCCCGGUAGUCCUGGCCUUAAACGAUGGAUGCUUGGUGUCCGAGGUUACAUAGUCCUCGGGUGCCGGCGCUAACGCAUUAAGCAUCCCGCCUGGGGAGUACGGUCGCAAGACUG
rnacentral:rRNA from 1 species